CAUAUUAUACGCCCAUGAUAAGCGGCACAUUUAAGAUGCUACAAACUGCUAAUCACGUUUAAUGAUUAUACAGACAUUUCAAUACGGUCACUUUCAAUACGAAACAAUAAAUUAUAUUCCAGCAAUUCAAGUUCCAUAUAACACACCAAUGCUCUGCUUAUACACACUUUAAUCGUAACUUUAACAACGAAAUUGCAUUUUCCCCACUUCGUAUAAUCUUGUUUGAACUGUCGCAUAUUAUAAGAAACAAGUGAAAAUUGGUUUUGUAAUUCGGUUACCGAAGAAAACACCGCACGAUGCAGAAUGAAGAAGGAGAGUGAUUUCGUUCUCUACGGUAGAAAAAAACUCGUCAGAUUUAUUUCUACGUUUCUUUCAGCUGAAGUCAAUGUAAAUCUCAUAUAUCGCAACCGAUAAAUACCUAUAUGGGCAAUCAAAUCAAAUGUAUGCAAUUCUGUCGUCGCAUAAUAAAAUGAAAUAAAAGUCUCACACCCAACUCUCGGAAAGCUCUGAAUUUCCAGAGGCUGAAAGGGCGAAACAUUCAAUUCCACAUCUUAGAAGACCAACCGUGUAUAUAAAACUCCGGCAGUUUGCAUUGAUGAUGGUUCGGGUACACAAAAUGUACAAGUGGAAGUGGUGAAUCGUGUUUGCCGAAUGAGACAUCGUGAACGAUAUUCCAUUAGACGUGCUUUGCAGUGAAAUGUAAUAAUUUUGCUGUUGAGUUAUCAACUUGUAUUCAACAGACAACGAUGCGCGUUCAUAAUAUAUAUGGGGAACACACACUAGAGGAGGUUCCUAUUCACUGUGCAGACGACAAUUUCAGUUGCGAUAACAACGAUUCUCUUUCCAUGAAAUUUUGUACAUUUCAGUAAAUUGGUUCUCGAGUAAAACGUAUUUUGAAU